UACGUAGGGUGCAAGCGUUAAUCGGAAUUACUGGGCGUAAAGCGUGCGCAGGCGGCUUUGCAAGACAGAUGUGAAAUCCCCGGGCUCAACCUGGGAAUUGCAUUUGUGACUGCAUGGCUCGAGUGCGGCAGAGGGGGAUGGAAUUCCGCGUGUAGCAGUGAAAUGCGUAGAUAUGCGGAGGAACACCGAUGGCGAAGGCAAUCCCCUGGGCCUGCACUGACGCUCAUGCACGAAAGCGUGGGGAGCAAACAGG
rnacentral:rRNA from 1 species